UCCUGGCACACUUCCUCGGCUGGAAGAAAGGAAAGGGUUUAAGUCGAGUAAACUGGUGGCAUUUCACGCCUGGCAGGAAUAGCGGAGAAAGCAUAGUUCACGGGACUGGCGACGACUGGUCGCGCUUCCUGUGACGUCCAAAAGGGCUUCUGAGAACAGUCUCGGGAGCAAGACGCAGGGAAUACCGACAUAGUUACGCGGGUUUGUCACCUCUGAAACUGGCUACGUUUUCUUUGUUUAACCUGUUCAUCGUUUGCUUCCUAAUCCUCCUUUAAUUUUCUUGCUGAGGAAGCACAUCUGAAGAUUAAUGACUUGCUGGACUUUCAGAACUGAGCUGAGGCAGCAGGGCCAACUUACCAAGUUUACUGCCAGAUUGCAGAGCAAGGAAGCCACAGACCCUCAAGCCAUGCCAGUUACCGUGAUUGGAGGAACAAGACUGAAAACCAACACCAGGGUGGACGAAGAGCAUCUUAGAAUCCUUAUGGGGACCAGUGAUGCAAAGAUCUGUCAUCUUCUACUUAUCCUCACCUUCACACUUCAGAAACUCCCUAUUCUAGACACAGCCCAAAGGAAGGAGGCAGGCCUCCAUUGAUAAGAUUAUUCUUAUUGCUGCCAAGGGGGGCCUUAAAGUAGAAAUACAGCUCAGUUACAGGAAAAAAAAUCUAUUUGUUACACUUUUGAGUUCAUAGGCUGAAGUUUACUUCUGCUGCAGUAUUAUCUGUAUUAUAUAGUGAUCAUAAAUUUUUAAGUUCAGGAUAAUGAGAGUUUUC